rnacentral:rRNA from 1 species
GAAUUUUGGACAAUGGGCGCAAGCCUGAUCCAGCCAUGCCGCGUGCAGGAUGAAGGCCUUCGGGUUGUAAACUGCUUUUGUACGGAACGAAAAGACUCUGGUUAAUACCUGGGGUCCAUGACGGUACCGUAAGAAUAAGCACCGGCUAACUACGUGCCAGCAGCCGCGGUAAUACGUAGGGUGCGAGCGUUAAUCGGAAUUACUGGGCGUAAAGCGUGCGCAGGCGGUUAUGUAAGACAGAUGUGAAAUCCCCGGGCUCAACCUGGGAACUGCAUUUGUGACUGCAUAGCUAGAGUACGGCAGAGGGGGAUGGAAUUCCGCGUGUAGCAGUGAAAUGCGUAGAUAUGCGGAGGAACACCGAUGGCGAAGGCAAUCCCCUGGGCCUGUACUGACGCUCAUGCACGAAAGCGUGGGGAGCAAAC